rnacentral:snRNA from 1 species
GUCCAAGCUUCGGCUGGACAUAUACUAAAAUUGGAACGAUACAGAGCAGGCGAUUAGCAUGGCCCCUGCGCAAGGAUGACACGCAAAAUCGUGAAGCGUUCCACAUUUUU